GUGGCUCGCUUCGCCGCGCUCCCUCCUUCCCCGCCUUCCAUACCUCCCCGGCUCCGCUCGGUUCCUGGCCACCCCGCAGCCCCUGCCCAGGUGCCAUGGCCGCAUUGUACCGCCCUGGCCUGCGGUGAGUGACCCCCGGCCCGGGGCCCACCCGCACCUUCCGCUGCGCUCGCCCCCUCGGGGCUGCCAGUGGCGCUCUCCUGCUCUCAGCCUCCGCCAGGUUUCCCAUCCUAGGCGGAGGCGGGCAGGGGCGACUGCUGUGGGUCCAGCCUCCCGCGCCGCGCGUCUCUUGGGAGGGCAGCCAGCCUGCGCUCCUCGUUUCCGCCUGCACCUCCCCUUCUCUGCCUCGCUCGCCUCUGACCGCGCGAUCUCUAUCUGCCACUCUCAGAACUUCCUCUCUCUCCUCGCUCCUCUCUGCUGAGCCGGGUCUCCGCAUAUCCUCCUUUCCUUCCCAGAUACCUCCCUCGGACCUCUAACGGGCUCUCAGCCAGCGCCCCAGGGUACUUCGAGAGGCAGCAGGGCCUUGGGGACAAGGGCUUAGCUGGCAUGGGCUGAGCCCCUUGGGCUGGCCAUCAUGCCGUAGCAUCCAGACCCUGCGAGUGCUUAGUGGAGAUCUGGGCCAGCUUCCCACUGGCAUUCGAGAUUUUGUAGAGCACAGUGCCCGCCUGUGCCAACCAGAGGGCAUCCACAUCUGUGAUGGAACUGAGGCUGAGAAUACUGCCACACUGACCCUGCUGGAGCAGCAGGGCCUCAUCCGAAAGCUCCGCAAGUACAAUAACUGCUGGCUGGCCCGCACAGACCCCAAGGAUGUGGCACGAGUAGAGAGCAAGACGGUGAUUGUAACUCCUUCUCAGCGGGACACGGUACCUCUCCCGCCUGGUGGGGCCCGUGGGCAGCUGGGCAACUGGAUGUCCCCAGCUGAUUUCCAGCGAGCUGUGGAUGAGAGGUUUCCAGGCUGCAUGCAGGGCCGCACCAUGUAUGUGCUUCCAUUCAGCAUGGGUCCUGUGGGCUCCCCGCUGUCCCGCAUCGGGGUGCAGCUCACUGACUCAGCCUAUGUGGUGGCAAGCAUGCGUAUUAUGACCCGACUGGGGACACCUGUGCUUCAGGCCCUGGGAGAUGGUGACUUUGUCAAGUGUCUGCACUCCGUGGGCCAGCCCCUGACAGGACAAGAUCCUGGGCAUCACCAGCCCUGCAGGGAAGAAGCGCUAUGUGGCAGCCGCCUUCCCUAGUGCCUGUGGCAAGACCAACCUGGCUAUGAUGCGGCCCGCACUGCCAGGCUGGAAAGUGGAGUGUGUGGGGGAUGACAUUGCUUGGAUGAGGUUUGACAGUGAAGGUGAGGGACUCUCAGAUCAUACUCUUGGUUCUGGCUCUUGUCAGAGCCUCGGGGUCUCCUCUCUAGUGUUCACAGUGACUUUGUCAGUGAGAAAGUUUCCUGAACACCCAACCCUGCUCCAUUCCUCUGGCAGCCCAGCCACCCUAGAGACAGCCUUUCCUCAUCAGAUCUUGGGUCCAUCUCAGGACAGGGUGGGGUGGAGCAGGACCUUCUUUGGUCUUACAUCUCAAGUUUUCCUUGUUUGGUCCUUCCUUUCUUUUACUUCUCCUAACAGGUCGACUCCGGGCCAUCAACCCUGAGAACGGCUUCUUUGGGGUUGCCCCUGGUACCUCUGCCACCACCAAUCCCAACGCCAUGGCUACAAUCCAGAGUAACACUAUUUUUACCAAUGUGGCUGAGACCAGUGAUGGUGGCGUGUACUGGGAGGGCAUUGACCAGCCUCUUCCACCUGGUGUUACUGUGACCUCCUGGCUGGGCAAACCCUGGAAACCUGGUAUGUGCGGUGGGGAAGGUGUGGCACAGC
rnacentral:sRNA from 1 species